rnacentral:rRNA from 1 species
UUCCGAUCUGGGAUAACGAAGCGAAAGCUUUGCUAAUACCGCAUACGAUCUACGGAUGAAAGCAGGGGACCGCAAGGCCUUGCGCGAACGGAGCGGCCGAUGGCAGAUUAGGUAGUUGGUGGGAUAAAAGCUUACCAAGCCGACGAUCUGUAGCUGGUCUGAGAGGACGACCAGCCACACUGGGACUGAGACACGGCCCAGACUCCUACGGGAGGCAGCAGUGGGGAAUUUUGGACAAUGGGGGAAACCCUGAUCCAGCAAUGCCGCGUGUGCGAAGAAGGCCUUCGGGUUGUAAAGCACUUUUGUCAGGGAAGAAAUCCUUUGGGCUAAUACCCUAGGGGGAUGACGGUACCUGAAGAAUAAGCACCGGCUAACUACGUGCCAGCAGCCGCGGUAAUACGUAGGUGGCAAGCGUUAUCCGGAAUUAUUGGGCGUAAAGCGCGCGUAGGCGGUUUUUUAAGUCUGAUGUGAAAGCCCACGGCUCAACCGUGGAGGGUCAUUGGAAACUGGAAAACUUGAGUGCAGAAGAGGAAAGUGGAAUUCCAUGUGUAGCGGUGAAAUGCGCAGAGAUAUGGAGGAACGCCAGUGGCGAAGGCG